rnacentral:rRNA from 1 species
UACGUAGGGGGCAAGCGUUGUCCGGAUUUACUGGGCGUAAAGAGCGUGUAGGCGGCCAAACAGGUCCGUUGUGAAAACUGGAGGCUCAACCUCCAGACGUCGACGGAAACCGUGUGGCUAGAGUCCGGAAGAGGAGAGUGGAAUUCUUGGUGUAGCGGUGAAAUGCGCAGAUAUCAGGAAGAACACCGAUGGCGAAGGCAGCUCUCUGGGACGGUACUGACGCUGAGACGCGAAAGCGUGGGGAGCGAACAGG